GGCCGUUCCGAGAGCCGGCGCUCCGAGUUUCGGGUAUAAAACCGGAGCCGCGCUCAUCCUCUUGCCUGAGGGCGGAUCCGAAAGAGGCGUGCGGAGGACACCGUGGGUCACCUCCCCAGGCGACGCCUCUGGCCGCCUGAGCGAUCCCCUGACUCCCAAGCGGCGGGCUCUGCCCUCACGCAUCCUCAUCCCUGGCCCUGGCGAGGAGACCGAGGAGACCGCACACUCCCGCCCGCCCCACCUGCCUGGCCAGGCGCGGCGGCCGGCGGCUCCCCCAGCUCAUUUUCUGAUAGAGCUGUCAGUUUUUAUUGCUGGUGGGAGAAAUCAUUUUCUCUCUUAGCUGCAUGUUAAUUGGCCUUAUCCUGCUCUUUCAUGCAGGGAGUGCACGCGGUCCCCUAGCCUUCUUCCCAGGCAAGGGAAAAGCCCCUUAGUAGAAAGCAUUCCAGAAAGACAAGGAAGGUGGUUCUUUGGAAACUGCUCAUUGGGAAUUGCUCAAUCAGAGAUAUUGCAUCUUCUACAAAUGGAAGGUCCAAGGCAACCCUGCGUCGAUCGAAUCUCUCAGCAUUACUUUUCUGACAGCAUUUGUUCACUUCAUGGUCCUGUGUCACAGAGAUGCUGCUAUUGCAUACUUCAUCGAGUGUAUAGUAUUGUGUAAACGUAACUUUUCUAUGCACUGGGAAGUGAAGAAAUUCCUGUGACUCCCUUUAUUCUGAUAUUCACUUUAUUGCGUUGGUCUGGAAGCAGACCCCUGCUGUCUCUGAGGUCUGCCUGUAUUCCUGAAGAAGGAGGUCCUAUCAAACACAGCAGAUUCGGGCCUUAAGCCUCGGAGACAGCCCAACCGUGGGGCCGAAAGAGACUGUGCAAGAAUGCUUAUAAUGACUCAAGGCCAAAAUGAAAGAUUCAGGCUCUCAGGAAAAUAACAAUACAUCACCAAAACAAGAAGAGGCAGAUCUGAGCCAUAUUUACAGAUGAAAUGAUAUGGUAUCUGAGUUUGCCUUCAAAAUAAUCUCAGGGUGGACAGCUGUGGGAAGGAUUGUGUGUUAAACAAGACUGGCUGUGAGUUAAUACUGCAGAGGGCACAUGAGUAAGUACAUAGGGGUUUCUUAUUCUAUGGCCUCUAAUUUUAUAUACCUCUGAAAUAGCCACAGUAAAAAUCAACAGCAGGAGUUCCCAUUUGAGGCAGCAGGUGAAGGAUCAAGCGUUGUCUCUGAGGCAGCAUGGGUCCAAUCCCCAGCCUGGUGCAGUGGGUUAAGGAUCUGGCAUUGCCAAGCUGUGGCUUG